rnacentral:tRNA from 1 species
AGUAGCCAAGCGGUAAGGCACUGGGUUUUGAUCCCAGCAUCCGUAGGUUCGAAUCCUGCCU